rnacentral:sRNA from 1 species
GUGCGUGGGGGAUCGCAAAAGGGGUUGCCAAGCUUAAAAGGUUGAGAACCACUGUGUUAGAGGCUGCUACAUCUUAGUUUUAUUCAUAACAAGCAUAGUUUUUACAAAUCUCAUAUGUGUCUGGUACAGAUCUCAUAAACAUUUCUCCCACUUCUCAUUCUCAUUGUUAAAUACUAUACAUGAAUCAAGAAAAAAUUUAACCAAUAAAGUAUCUUAUUUUUGCUUGUUUAAUAUAUUAAAAAAAUAUGAUCACUUUUUUAUUGCAAACAAUAAAUUUAAAAUAAUACUUCAGCUUUUCGUUUCAUUUGCUGAUACAACAUAAAUCCUCUCAACAAUUGAAGUGUAAAUCAUAAACUCGUGUUAAGAAAUAAACAUUUUCUUUGCUCAAAUUUAUUUAUUUUUUUAAUUUACAAUUUUAAAUAAUUGUAAUCUAAAAUAUCAUUGGUUUUAAAUAAAACACAUAACAUAAACAUUUUUUUCAUGCAGAAGCAUUCUAAACACUUUUGAGAGUUAAAAAAAAUACUUGUCAGCAAAGAGAGUGGCUGAUUAUUGAGCAUUAACCUUUUUUUGGUGAUCACUCAAGUUAUGAAAUUAUCUGGUGUGAUAGAAUAUUCAAAUAUGGCAGACGAACUUGACGUUGAAGCUAUGCUAGAGGCACCUUACAAAAAGGAGG